UGUUUGAUGUUCUAACGUGGACCCGUGAUCCGGGUUGCGGACAGUGUCUGGUGGGUAGUUUGACUGGGGCGGUCUCCUCCUAAAGAGUAACGGAGGAGCACGAAGGUUGGCUAAUCCUGGUCGGACAUCAGGAGGUUAGUGCAAUGGCAUAAGCCAGCUUGACUGCGAGCGUGACGGCGCGAGCAGGUGCGAAAGCAGGUCAUAGUGAUCCGGUGGUUCUGAAUGGAAGGGCCAUCGCUCAACGGAUAAAAGGUACUCCGGGGAUAACAGGCUGAUACCGCCCAAGAGUUCAUAUCGACGGCGGUGUUUGGCACCUCGAUGUCGGCUCAUCACAUCCUGGGGCUGAAGUAGGUCCCAAGGGUAUGGCUGUUCGCCAUUUAAAGUGGUACGCGAGCUGGGUUUAGAACGUCGUGAGACAGUUCGGUCCCUAUCUGCCGUGGGCGCUGGAGAACUGAGGGGGGCUGCUCCUAGUACGAGAGGACCGGAGUGGACGCAUCACUGGUGUUCGGGUUGUCAUGCCAAUGGCACUGCCCGGUAGCUAAAUGCGGAAGAGAUAAGUGCUGAAAGCAUCUAAGCACGAAACUUGCCCCGAGAUGAGUUCUCCCUGAGACUUAGAGUCUCCUGA
rnacentral:rRNA from 1 species